rnacentral:rRNA from 1 species
GAUGAACGCUGGCGGCGUGCCUAAUACAUGCAAGUCGAGCGAACAGACGAGGAGCUUGCUCCUCUGACGUUAGCGGCGGACGGGUGAGUAACACGUGGAUAACCUACCUAUAAGACUGGGAUAACUUCGGGAAACCGGAGCUAAUACCGGAUAAUAUAUUGAACCGCAUGGUUCAAUAGUGAAAGACGGUUUUGCUGUCACUUAUAGAUGGAUCCGCGCCGCAUUAGCUAGUUGGUAAGGUAACGGCUUACCAAGGCAACGAUGCGUAGCCGACCCGAGAGGGUGAUCGGCCACACUGGAACUGAGACACGGUCCAGACUCCUGCGGGAGGCAGCAGUAGCGAAUCUUCAGCAAUGGGCGAAAGGCUGACGGAGCAACGCCGCGUGAGUGAUGAAGGUCUUCGGAUCGUAAAACUCUGUUAUUAGGGAAGAACAAAUGUGUAAGUAACUAUGCACGUCUUGACGGUACCUAAUCAGAAAGCCACGGCUAACUACGUG